GCCGAGGUGGCGAAAUUGGUAGACGCGCUAGCUUCAGGUGCUAGUUCCCUCCGGGGAGUGGCGGUUCAAGUCCGCCUCUCGGCACCA
rnacentral:tRNA from 1 species